rnacentral:rRNA from 1 species
AUUGAACGCUGGCGGCAUGCCUUACACAUGCAAGUCGAACGGCAGCGGGCCUUCGGGUGCCGGCGAGUGGCGAACGGGUGAGUAAUGCAUCGGAACGUGCCAUUGAGUGGGGGGAUAACGUAGCGAAAGUUGCGCUAAUACCGCAUAUUCUGUGAGCAGGAAAGCAGGGGACCGCAAGGCCUUGCGCUCUUUGAGCGGCCGAUGUCAGAUUAGCUAGUUGGUGAGGUAAAGGCCUACCAAGGCAACGAUCUGUAGUUGGUCUGAGAGGACGACCAGCCACACUGGGACUGAGACACGGCCCAGACUCCUACGGGAGGCAGCAGUGGGGAAUUUUGGACAAUGGGCGCAAGCCUGAUCCAGCAAUGCCGCGUGCAGGAAGAA